CGGACAACGGCGAACAAAUGGAGAGGUCGGCAUGUUCUUCGACAACGUGGUUAUCGCAGGGGUGGUAACGGUGGGGUUGAUGGUGGCUUUCUUCGCCGGUCUAGGCAUUUUCAUCUGGAAGGACUCGAGCAAGCGCAAGCGCCCUUGACCUUCCCGAUUCAUGAGCACGCAAGGCAUUUAGGGCGACUUCGGUCGCCCAUUUUUUU
rnacentral:sRNA from 1 species